rnacentral:rRNA from 1 species
GACGAACGCUGGCGGCGUGCUUAACACAUGCAAGUCGAACGGAAAGGCCCUGCUUUUGUGGGGUGCCCGAGUGGCGAACGGGUGAGUAACACGUGAGUAACCUGCCCUUGACUUUGGGAUAACUUCUGGAAACUGGGGCUAAUACCGGAUAGGAGCUCCUGCUGCAUGGUGGGGGUUGGAAAGUUUCGGCGGUUGGGGAUGGACUCGCGGCUUAUCAGCUUGUUGGUGGGGUAGUGGCUUACCAAGGCUUUGACGGGUAGCCGGCCUGAGAGGGUGACCGGCCACAUUGGGACUGAGAUACGGCCCAGACUCCUACGGGAGGCAGCAGUGGGGAAUAUUGCACAAUGGGCGGAAGCCUGAUGCAGCAACGCCGCGUGCGGGAUGACGGCCUUCGGGUUGUAAACCGCUUUCGCCUGUGACGAAGCGUGAGUGACGGUAAUGGGUAAAGAAGCACCGGCUAACUACGUGCCAGCAGCCGCGGUGAUACGUAGGGUGCGAGCGUUGUCCGGAUUUAUUGGGCGUAAAGGGCUCGUAGGUGGUUGAUCGCGUCGGAAGUGUAAUCUUGGGGCUUAACCCUGAGCGUGCUUUCGAUACGGGUUGACUUGAGGAAGGUAGGGGAGAAUGGAAUUCCUGGUGGAGCGGUGGAAUGCGCAGAUAUCAGGAGGAACACCAGUGGCGAAGGCGGUUCUCUGGGCCUUUCCUGACGCUGAGGAGCGAAAGCGUGGGGAGCGAACAGGCUUAGAUACCCUGGUAGUCCACGCUGUAAACGGUGGGUACUAGGUGUGGGGUCCAUUCCACGGGUUCCGUGCCGUAGCUAACGCUUUAAGUACCCCGCCUGGGGAGUACGGCCGCAAGGCUAAAACUCAAAGGAAUUGACGGGGCCCCGCACAAGCGGCGGAGCAUGCGGAUUAAUUCGAUGCAACGCGUAGAACCUUACCUGGGUUUGACAUGGAUCGGGAGUGCUCAGAGAUGGGUGUGCCUCUUUUGGGGUCGGUUCACAGGUGGUGCAUGGCUGUCGUCAGCUCGUGUCGUGAGAUGUUGGGUUAAGUCCCGCAACGAGCGCAACCCUUGUUCACUGUUGCCAGCACGUUAUGGUGGGGACUCAGUGGAGACCGCCGGGGUCAACUCGGAGGAAGGUGGGGAUGACGUCAAGUCAUCAUGCCCCUUAUGUCCGGGGCUUCACGCAUGCUACAAUGGCUGGUACAGAGAGUGGCGAGCCUGUGAGGGUGAGCGAAUCUCGGAAAGCCGGUCUCAGUUCGGAUUGGGGUCUGCAACUCGACCUCAUGAAGUCGGAGUCGCUAGUAAUCGCAGAUCAGCAACGCUGCGGUGAAUACGUUCCCGGGGCU